rnacentral:tRNA from 1 species
GGGCCAUUAGCUCAAUUGGUAGAGCAACUGACUCUUAAUCAGUAGGUCGUAGGUUCGAUCCCUACAUGGCCCACCA